rnacentral:rRNA from 1 species
GACAAACGCUGGCGGCGUGCUUAACACAUGCAAGUCGAGCGGUAAGGCCCUUUCGGGGGUACACGAGCGGCGAACGGGUGAGUAACACGUGGGUGACCUGCCUUUAGCUCUGGGAUAAGCCUGGGAAACUGGGUCUAAUACCGGAUAUGACCCUAUGGCGCAUGUUGUGGGGUGGAAAGCCUUGUGCGGCUAGGGAUGGGCCCGCGGCCUAUCAGCUUGUUGGUGGGGUGAUGGCCUACCAAGGCGACGACGGGUAGCCGGCCUGAGAGGGCGACCGGCCACACUGGGACUGAGACACGGCCCAGACUCCUACGGGAGGCAGCAGUGGGGAAUCUUGCGCAAUGGGCGAAAGCCUGACGCAGCGACGCCGCGUGAGGGAUGACGGCCUCGGUUGUAAC